CCAGUGGUUCUUCUUUCAUAUCCAUAACACCUGUGCACUGUUGGAUGCUUGCAUCCACUUUUAAACUAAACAUUAUUGUAACAAAUGUAGUCUUAUUAUAACAUAAUAAAACUUUCAACAACGGAUCAAUGUUUAGUUUAAAAGUGGAUGCAAGCAUCCAACAGUGCACAGGUGUUAU
rnacentral:misc_RNA from 1 species